rnacentral:rRNA from 1 species
GUGCUUAACACAUGCAAGUCGAACGGAAAGGCCCCGCUUGCGGGGUACUCGAGUGGCGAACGGGUGAGUAACACGUGGGUGAUCUACCCUGCACUUCGGGAUAAGCCUGGGAAACUGGGUCUAAUACCGGAUAGGACCCCUCUUUAGUGUGGGGGGUGGAAAGUUUUUUCGGUGUGGGAUGAGCCCGCGGCCUAUCAGCUUGUUGGUGGGGUAAUGGCCUACCAAGGCGUCGACGGGUAGCCGGCCUGAGAGGGUGGACGGCCACAUUGGGACUGAGAUACGGCCCAGACUCCUACGGGAGGCAGCAGUGGGGAAUAUUGCACAAUGGGCGGAAGCCUGAUGCAGCGACGCCGCGUGGGGGAUGACGGCCUUCGGGUUGUAAACCUCUUUCGCUAGGGACGAAGCUUUUGUGACGGUACCUAGAUAAGAAGCACCGGCUAACUACGUGCCAGCAGCCGCGGUAAUACGUAGGGUGCGAGCGUUGUCCGGAAUUACUGGGCGUAAAGAGCUCGUAGGUGGUUUGUCGCGUCGUCUGUGAAAUUCCGGGGCUUAACCUCGGGCGUGCAGGCGAUACGGGCAAUACUUGAGUGCUGUAGGGGAGACUGGAAUUCCUGGUGUAGCGGUGGAAUGCGCAGAUAUCAGGAGGAACACCGAUGGCGAAGGCAGGUCUCUGGGCAGUAACUGACGCUGAGGAGCGAAAGCAUGGGUAGCGAACAGGAUUAGAUACCCUGGUAGUCCAUGCCGUAAACGGUGGGCGCUAGGUGUAGGGGUCUUCCACGACUUCUGUGCCGUAGCUAACGCAUUAAGCGCCCCGCCUGGGGAGUACGGCCGCAAGGCUAAAACUCAAAGGAAUUGACGG